rnacentral:rRNA from 1 species
AGUGAACGCUGGCGGUAGGCCUAACACAUGCAAGUCGAACGGCAGCACAGAGGAGCUUGCUCCUUGGGUGGCGAGUGGCGGACGGGUGAGGAAUACAUCGGAAUCUACUCUGUCGUGGGGGAUAACGUAGGGAAACUUACGCUAAUACCGCAUACGACCUACGGGUGAAAGCAGGGAACCUUCGGGCCUUGCGCGAUUGAAUGAGCCGAUGUCGGAUUAGCUAGUUGGCGGGGUAAAGGCCCACCAAGGCGACGAUCCGUAGCUGGUCUGAGAGGAUGAUCAGCCACACUGGAACUGAGACACGGUCCAGACUCCUACGGGAGGCAGCAGUGGGAAUAUUGGACAAUGGGCGCAAGCCUGAUCCAGCCAUACCGCGUGGGUGAAGAAGGCCUUCGGGUUGUAAAGCCCUUUUGUUGGGAAAGAAAUCCAGCUGGCUAAUACCCGGUUGGGAUGACGGUACCCAAAGAAUAAGCACCGGCUAACUUCGUGCCAGCCGCCGCGGUAA